GGCGGUCGCGGGAGCGGUCCACCGGCGUCGCAGCUGGGGAAACCGAGGCUCGGCGGUCGCGGGAGCGGCCCACCCGGCGUCGCAGCUGGGGAAACCGAGGCUCGGCGGUCGCGGGAGCGGCCCACCCGGCGUCGCAGCUGGGGAAACCGAGGCUCGGCGGUCGCGGGAGCGGCCCAGACCGGGGAUUGGACUCGGGAAUCCUUUCUGUUGCCCCGGCUCUGGGCUCCGAGCCGGUGCGGGGAGGCAGGCGGGCCGGGCAGGGGUGAGGUGGACGGAGCUGGACUGGGGGAAGCUUGGAGGUCAGUUCCCCCUGCCUCACCCACAUCUCCAGUCCUUUCUGGGAACAGACCAGAAAGCAGAGUAAGCGGAGGGGACCGCCACCGCUGGGCGGGGGAUGGGGCUGGAAGGGAGGGAGUGGAGUGGACAAUUUUGUAGGAAUGAGGAUUUCCUCCAUGUGCUGGGGGAGGGAUAUUUCCAAACCUGCAAUCCUACUGCCUCUGCCGUUCCCUGUUAAAACGGACACGUGUUCAUUCUUUUGUCCACUUUACCUCUGCAAACAUCCCAAGGCCCUGUAAGUGACAGUCUGUGGCCCCAGAAUCGACCUGGAUGUGUCACUGUCCUUAAGUAACCCCCUGCCCAAAUCAGUGUAGCAAAGGGCCGUGUUUAUUGUGGCACUGUUCACAAAAGUUGAGACAUCGGAGUCAGCCUCGUGUCCAUCAGCAGAGGAAUGGAUAAGGAAAAUGUGGUACAUACACAACAGAAUACUAUUCAGCCAUGAAAAAGAAUGAGAUCCUGUCACUCCCAGCGACAUGGUUGAGCCUGGAGGACAUCACGUUAAGCAUAGCCAACCUCUUCUGCCCGGGAGCAGAACAACCCCGCUGACUCUACCUAGAAGGGGCCUCAUUUCACCAGCAGGAAAUGGCUGACAAGGUGCUUCAAAACAAGACAACAACAAAAAACCCCAAAACAACUCAAAACAUCUUUCUAAGAAAGAUGAACUAUGGCAGACUGUGCCCUAGUCAAUAGGAAGAUGAUAGAGAAAUGAUGACAAUCGAUUUGGGGUGGAAUAUAUGGUAAAGAUGCUCAAACGUACCUAAAUUUCUUUUAGAAAUGCUGAUUCCUGGGCACAGACUCCAGAGAUUCUGAUUUAGCAGGUGUGGACCAUAGUCUAGGAAUGUGCAUUCGUAAUAAGCUUGGCAAAACCGCUGAUUCAUGCAGUUCAACUGCUGAGACCUCUCCCAGAGCCUGUUCCUAAACAUCCCUUUCAGGCCCUCACUCAGCCUGGAAGGUUCCACCUGGCUUAGCUCCCUACAACCAGAAAGACCCUGUGUAUAAAGUGCUGGGCGUGAUCACAGGUGGGGCCCGAGUGAAGGCUUCACGGGAACAAGGAGGGCUGGGCUCAGCUUCCCAGGCGUGUUUCUGCCGCAGGGCCUUUGCACUUGAUGUUUCCUCUCCUUGGAAUAAACAACCACCAACCCUAACAACCAACAGAAAAGAGCAAAUAAAAACAAUCCAUGAGAACAAACGCUCAUCAGAACAAAAUGAAACCCCAAGGCUCUGUCCCUCUGUCCCCUCUAACCACUUGCCAUGAUUUGGAUAUUUGACCCUCCACAUCUCAUGUUGAAACGUGAACCCUGGUGUUAAAGGUGGGGCUGUCUCGAGGUAACGAGUGAGUCUCGCUCUGUCAGUCCCUGUGAGAGCUGGCUGUUGAAUCUGACACCUCCUCUCUCUUCCUCUCUCCCCGUGUGAUUUCUGCAUGUACCGGCCGCCUGCACCUUCCGUCGUGAGUGGAGGAGCCUGAGCCCCACCAGAAGCAGAUGCUGGUGCCAUGAUUUUGCACAGCCUGCAGUGAGCCCACUCCGACCUGGACCUGAGUCACAAACAUCCUGGAGAAGUUUUCAUUUGCAUCAAGGCUUAGUCCCACUGCAGAGCACACCUGAUCUCUGAACAGUCCCGUGUCAUCUGCCUGGCUGUCCUGGGGCCUUCCUGGAUGUGGAUAUCAGAGACAGGAUGGAGCCCCUCUGCUGGGGACCUGGGAACUAUUAGUAGCAGUCUCUGUGGGGUAACACAGUUGUCUCUGCUGGACAACUUCAUAAAUUCUACUUCCGGGCAUCUG